rnacentral:lncRNA from 1 species
CUAUUUUCAUGAAAUGUGACAUCGGUUUAUUUCCAGCCGACCAGGAGGCAACACAACUACACACUGUGUGAACUGAACCUCAGAUACCACUGGCCUGUCACCAACAGAUUUUGAAGCAAAUGAUGUGAUUGUUCACCGAUUAUCAGUGCAUCUGUUAUUUACAUAGUGAUUUGUGAACUGACAAGUUAGCAGCAGUUUCUGCUUUAUGCAAUUGUUCUGUUAAUAGACUGUGAUUGUGGAUCUACUGAAUGUCUCAAGAGAGGAACUUUUUUCCACUUCACAAAUUCUAAUUUUUGACUUGAUAAAGAAUGAUGGAUAUUUGUCACACAGAUAUUUAAAUGGAAUCAGGGCUGUAUAUAACCAUGACAUAAUACUUUGUCAAAAAGUGAAAAGUUAAUCUGGUUGGUCAUCAGUUUCAGAAGGGAGGAUUUUAAAUGGCUUAAAAAUAAUGUAGUCACAUGACUUAAAUUCAAAAGGAGGUAUUUUUACCUGGCAUAUGGAGAAGAUGAUGACAAUAAUGUGGAACUUGAUUAGACAUCAACAGAGACUCAAUGCCUCCUGGAAAACACCUGAGAAAUGAUUGAAGCUCGCUCUGGUCUUGCCUGGAAUCAUGCAUAACAUUUGUUGCUGCCUGCAUGUGGAUUCAUUUUAGCAGUUUAUCAAUUUG